rnacentral:rRNA from 1 species
AAGGGCGCGUAUGCAUAGGCAUCUACCUCUUCGUAUAGGGUAACCUGUACAAAUGAUAGGAUGAUACUGUAUAAUCCCUGCGGGGGAAAGAUUUAUCGCUUUCUGAUGAGACUAUGUUAGAUUAGCUAGUUGUCUGGGGAAAUGGGCUACCAAGGAGAUGAUCUAUAGCUGGUCUGAGAGGAUGAUCAGCCACACUGGAACUGAGACACGGUCCAGACUCCUACGGGAGGCAGCAGUGGGGAAUAUUGGACAAUGGGCGCAAGCCUGAUCCAGCUAUGCCGCGUGAGUGAGGAAGGCCUUAGGGUUGUAAAACUCUUUCAGUGGGGAAGAUAAUGACGGUACCCACAGAAGAAGUCCCGGCAAACUCCGUGCCAGCAGCCGCGGUAAUACGGAGGGGGCAAGCGUUGUUCGGAAUUAUUGGGCGUAAAGGGCAUGUAGGUGGUUUGGUAAGUUAAAGGUGAAAUGCCAGGGCUUAACCCUGGAGCUGCUUUUAAUACUGCCAGACUGGAGUCCGGGAGA